rnacentral:rRNA from 1 species
UUUAACGGGUAACGGGGAAUUAGGGUUCGAUUCCGGAGAGGGAGCCUGAGAAACGGCUACCACAUUUAAGGAUGGCAGCAGGCGCGCAAAUUGUCCAAUAGUAGUAUUGUUGAGACAGCGAAGAGAAAUAGCAACUUCUGGUACUCAGUAUCAUGGAGAUUGCAAUGGAUGAUAUCUAAACCUGUCAGUGAACUCCAUUGGUGGACAAGUCUGGUGCCAGCACCUGUGGUAAUUCCAGCACCAAUAGCGUAUAUUAAUGCUGCUGCUGUUAAAAAGCUCGUAGUUCGACUCAGAGUACAGGUUGUGUUGUGGCCGUUUAGUUGGUGAGAUGGCGUACUGCUUUCGAUCCUUCUAUUCGGAUUCAACCCAACACGUCAAGACCUGUGCUCUAGGAAUGGUGGUAAUGGUGCCCUGCGAUUAGGUUCCUUUAUUGGGACUGAAAGCGUCUUCGCGUUAACCUCACGCAUACGGGUCGACCACCGAUGUUACUGUGAACAAAUUAGUGUGUCCAAAGCAGGCGUUCGCCUUGAAUGAUAAAGCAUGGAAUAACAAGGGAUCGAUUCUCUCGAGUCUUCUUGUUGGUUCUUGCCUCGAGAAGGAGCAAUUCAAGUUACAGACUUAUUCUCAGUCUCUUCGGAGAUUGAGUCUCAGACUGUGACCCAAUGGGAUCAAGAGGGAUUGCCGGGGUCGUACGUACUCCCAUGUCAGAGGUGAAAUUCUUAGAUCGUGGGAAGACGAACUUCUGCGAAAGCAUUCGACAAGAAUGUUUUUAUUAAUUAAGAACGAGAGUGUGGGGAUCGAAGAUGAUCAGAUACCGUCGUAGUCCACUACUGUAAACGAUGCCGUCUCAGGAUCGAGAGGUGCAUAUUAAUGAUUUUUAUGGCACUAACCCCUGAAACGAGAAAUUAAAGAUUAUGGGUUUAGGGGGGAGUACAUUCGCAAGGCUGAAAUUUAAAGGAAUUGACGGAAUGAUAUUAUUAGGUGUGGAGUAUGCGGCUUAAUUUGACCCAACACGGGGAAUUUUACUAGGUCAGGACAAUGCCAGGAUUGACAGAUUGAGAGCUUUUUCUCGAUUUAUUGUGUGGUGGUGCAUGGCCGCUCCUGGUUGGUGGAGUGAUUUGUCUGGUUGAUUCCGUUAACGAACGAGAUCUCGACCCUUAAAUAGGCUUACCAUCGCUUCGGUCCAUCGUCAUUUCGGUGACAUCCAUGGUGGACUUAGAAGC